AUAUAUGGGCAAACUAUCCGAAAGGGUAGGACGCAAAGCCGUGAGUCUAAGAUAUUUUUAUUAUGAUUGUCUGGUUGC
rnacentral:ncRNA from 1 species